ACUCACUGCACAGCUAGCUUGAAAUGUUGCAGAUGGGGCCAUCCAAUCGGUACUUUUUUGGUGGCUCAAACCGUUGUUAGGUUGUCAAGGAGGGCGAUCAGGUGUGUUGGUACGUUGUCAAGGAGGGCGAUCAGGUGUGUUGGUAGGAGGUCAAGGAGGGCGAUCAGGUGUGUUGGUAGGUUGUCAAGGAGGGCGAUCAGGUGUGUUGGUAGGAGGUCAAGGAGGGCGAUCAGGUGUGUUGGUAGGUUGUCAAGGAGGGCGAUCAGGUGUGUUGGUAGGUUGUCAUGGAGGGCGAUCAGGUGUGUUGGUAGGUUGUCAAGGAGGGCGAUCAGGUGUGUUGGUAGGUUGUCAAGGAGGGCGAUCAGGUGUGUUGGUAGGUUGUCAAGGAGGGCGAUCAGGUUUGUUGGUAGGUUGCCAAGGAGGGCGAUCAGGUGUGUUGGUAGGUUGUCAAGGAGGUGUGUUGGUAGGUUGUCAAGGAGGGCGAUCAGGUGUGUUGGUAGGUUGUCAAGGAGGGCGAUCAGGUGUGUUGGUAGGUUGUCAAGGAGGGCGAUCAGGUGUGUUGGUAGGUUGUCAAGGAGGGCGAUCAGGUGUGUUGGUAGGUUGUCAAGGAGGGCGAUCAGGUGUGUUGAUAGGUUGUCAAGGAGGGCGAUCAGGUGUGUUGGUAGGUUGUCAAGGAGGGCGAUCAGGUGUGUUGGUAGGUUGUCAAGGAGGGCGAUCAGGUGUGUUGGUAGGUUGUCAAGGAGGGCAAUCAGGUGUGUUGGUAAGUUGUCAAGGAGGGCGAUCAGGUGUGUUGGUAGAUUGUCAAGGAGGGCGAUCAGGUGGGUUGGUAGGUUGUCAAGGAGGGCGAUCAGGUGCGUUGGUAGGUUGUCAAGGAGGGCGAUCAGGUGCGUUGGUAGGUUGUCAAGGAGGGCGAUCAGGUGUGUUGGUAGGUUGUCAAGGAGGGCGAUCAGGUGCGUUGGUAGGUUGUCAAGGAGGGCGAUCAGGUGCGUUGGUAGGUUGUCAAGGAGGGCGAUCAGGUGCGUUGGUAGGUUGUCAAGGAGGGCGAUCAGGUGCGUUGGUAGGUUGUCAAGGAGGGUGAUCAGGUGCGUUGGUAGGUUGUCAAGGAGGGCGAUCAGGUGUGUUGGUAGGUUGUCAUGGAGGGCGAUCAGGUGUGUUGGUAGGUUGUCAAGGAGGGCGAUCAGGUGUGUUGGUAGGUUGUCAAGGAGGGCGAUCAGGUGUGUUGGUAGGUUGUCAAGGAGGGCGAUCAGGUGCGUUGGUAGGUUGUCAAGGAGGGCGAUCAGGUGCGUUGGUAGGUUGUCAAGAUGGGCGAUCAGGUGCGUUGGUAGGUUGUCAAGG
rnacentral:lncRNA from 1 species